GCCCAGUUAACUCAGUUGGUAAAGCAUCAGACUUUUAAUCUGAGGGCCAUCGGUUCGAGUCCCAUAUCGGGCU
rnacentral:tRNA from 1 species